rnacentral:tRNA from 1 species
GGCCCCGUGGCGGGGGACCCCGCCGAGCUGCUGCCCCGGCUGCGGGCGGUGCUGUCCCGCCCGGGGCCC